AGGUAGAGGGCAGACUUUGGUCAACCUCUCUGUAUUACUACUCUUGUAUUUCCACUACCAUAUAAAUAAAAUUGUUGUUGUUUCUACUUAGAAGAUUUAUUGUGAGAGUCUACUCUAAUUAAGAUUUAAGGUAUUACGCGUCUGUAUACCAGUGUAUACAGGUUGAAUAUCAGCCUGUUUUUUAACUUUCGAAAGUUGAAAGCUCCUUUACAGCAGCAUAUUUUCGCUGCUUUCAACCCAGAUUUCGAAUUUGGCCUCCUGUGCACAUUUCAACCUGUAUAUGGGUGUAUAAAAUGUGUAUUAGCUGGUAUACAACUUCUUCAACACCUGCAAUGUAAUUUCCAGCAACUUUCCAGGUUUUGAUGAACCUGUAAUCAAUUUCCAGCACUGCAUUUCUGCUGUUUUUCGACCUGUACACCUGUUUUGAGGGGCUGACCAGCAUCAAGGAGGGUAAUUUGAGCCUUUAUGGCUCGAGAAAGGAAUGCAAGGAUACGGGCAAAGUCCGUUAGGACUCAUGGCGAAUGCACGUGAAACGGAUCAAAAGGAAACACAAAGAAAAACAGUCAGCGAUGGAAACACUUCUGCAUUUAUACGCAUAACUAAAGCAAUGUAAAUCAAAUAGAAGAAAUGGCAGCCAAAGCAGAUGAAAAUAAAUAAAGCCUCUAUGCAUGGGUUUAAUUUACUAUUAUUCAUGCUA